GAAGAGGGAAUAUGUUUGUUUAUUUCCUUUGUUUUCUAAUGAUGAUUCACUCGACCGGGCGGACAUAACUUUACCUUUAUCGGUCCCUCUUUUUGUACAAAUAA